AUUGAACGCUGGCGGCAUGCCUUACACAUGCAAGUCGAACGGUAACAGGUCUUCGGAUGCUGACGAGUGGCGAACGGGUGAGUAAUACAUCGGAACGUGCCCAGACGUGGGGGAUAACGAGGCGAAAGCUUUGCUAAUACCGCAUACGAUCUAAGGAUGAAAGCAGGGGACCGCAAAGCCUUGUGCGUUUGGAGCGGCCGAUGGCAGAUUAGAUGGUUGGUGGGAUAAAAGCUUACCAAGCCGACGAUCUGUAGCUGGUCUGAGAGGACGACCAGCCACACUGGGACUGAGACACGGCCCAGACUCCUACGGGAGGCAGCAGUGGGGAAUUUUGGACAAUGGGCGCAAGCCUGAUCCAGCAAUGCCGCGUGCAGGACGAAGGCCUUCGGGUUGUAAACUGCUUUUGUACGGAACGAAAAGACACUGGCUAAUACCUGGUGUUGAUGACGGUACCGUAAGAAUAAGCACCGGCUAACUACGUGCCAGCCGCCGCCGUAACAC
rnacentral:rRNA from 1 species